UUGCACCGGGGAUUAGUGGCGAACGGGUGAGUAACACGUGAGUAACCUGCCCUUAACUCUGGGAUAAGCCUGGGAAACUGGGUCUAAUACCGGAUAUGACUCCUCAUCGCAUGGUGGGGGGUGGAAAGCUUUAUUGUGGUUUUGGAUGGACUCGCGGCCUAUCAGCUUGUUGGUGAGGUAAUGGCUCACCAAGGCGACGACGGGUAGCCGGCCUGAGAGGGUGACCGGCCACACUGGGACUGAGACACGGCCCAGACUCCUACGGGAGGCAGCAGUGGGGAAUAUUGCACAAUGGGCGCAAGCCUGAUGCAGCGACGCCGCGUGAGGGAUGACGGCCUUCGGGUUGUAAACCUCUUUCAGUAGGGAAGAAGCGAAAGUGACGGUACCUGCAGAAGAAGCGCCGGCUAACUACGUGCCAGCAGCCGCGGUAAUACGUAGGGCGCAAGCGUUAUCCGGAAUUAUUGGGCGUAAAGAGCUCGUAGGCGGUUUGUCGCGUCUGCCGUGAAAGUCCGGGGCUCAACUCCGGAUCUGCGGUGGGUACGGGCAGACUAGAGUGAUGUAGGGGAGACUGGAAUUCCUGGUGUAGCGGUGAAAUGCGCAGAUAUCAGGAGGAACACCGAUGGCGAAGGCAGGUCUCUGGGCAUUAACUGACGCUGAGGAGCGAAAGCAUGGGGAGCGAACAGGAUUAGAUACCCUGGUAGUCCAUGCCGUAAACGUUGGGCACUAGGUGUGGGGGACAUUCCACGUUUUCCGCGCCGUAGCUAACGCAUUAAGUGCCCCGCCUGGGGAGUACGGCCGCA
rnacentral:rRNA from 1 species